AUUGAACGCUGGCGGCAGGCUUAACACAUGCAAGUCGAGCGAGCGGCGGACGGGUGAGUAAUGUCUGGGAAACUGCCUGAUGGAGGGGGAUAACUACUGGAAACGGUAGCUAAUACCGCAUAACAUCAGAUGUGCCCAGAUGGGAUUAGCUAGAAGGUGGGGUAAUGGCUCACUUAGGCGACGAUCCCUAGCUGGUCUGAGAGGAUGACCAGCCACACUGGAACGGAGACACGUGCCAGACGCCUACGCGAUGCAGCAGUGGGGAUUAUUGCACAAGGGGCGCAAGCCUGAUGCAGCCAUGCCGCGUGUGUGAAGAAGGCCUUCGGGUUGUAAAGCACUUUCAGCGAGGAGGCGUUACUCGCAGAAGAAGCACCGGCUAACUCCGUGCCAGCAGCCGCGGUAAUUC
rnacentral:rRNA from 1 species